rnacentral:rRNA from 1 species
CAGUCGCCGCGGUAAUACGUAGAUGGCAAGCGUUGUCCGGAAUUAUUGGGCGUAAAGGGCUCGCAGGCGGUUUCUUAAGUCUGAUGUGAAAGCCCCCGGCUCAACCGGGGAGGGUCAUUGGAAACUGGGAAACUUGAGUGCAGAAGAGGAGAGUGGAAUUCCACGUGUAGCGGUGAAAUGCGUAGAGAUGUGGAGGAACACCAGUGGCGAAGGCGACUCUCUGGUCUGUAACUGACGCUGAGGAGCGAAAGCGUGGGGAGCGAACAGGAUUAGAUACCCCCGUAGUCCCUGUCUCUUAUAA